CAACAACAUGUUGAGCCAAGGGUGAGGAGAGUGGCUUUGAACCGUGGUGCUGAAUAUCUGGAGCGGUACUUUCGUUUAAUUGCUUUUGCAGCCUAUCUUGGAAGUGAAGCAUUUGAUGGAUUUUGUGGUGAAGGAGAAUUGAGGAUGACAUUUAAGAGUUGGUUGCAUCAAAGACCUGAGGUCCAAGCGAUAAAAUGGAGCAUAAGACUAAGGCCUGGGCGGUUUUUCACUAUCCCUGAGGAGUUGAGAGCACCCCAGGAAUCCCAACAUGGAGAUGCAGUAAUGGAGGCCACUAUCAAGGCCCGUAAUGGUUCAGUUUUAGGAACAGGCUCUAUACUUAAAAUGUAUUUCUUUCCUGGUCAGAGGACUUCCAGUCACAUACAAAUUCAUGGAGCACCACAUGUUUACAAGGUGGAUGGAUACCCUGUGUAUAGCAUGGCAACUCCAACAAUUGCUGGUGCUAAAGAGAUGCUAGCAUAUUUGGGUGCCAGGCCCAAGUUAGAAGAAUCAUAUUCUCAUAAAGUGAUAUUGACCGAUCUUAGAGAAGAAGCAAUUGUUUACAUUAAUAGCACGCCAUUUGUCCUUAGGGAGUUGCAUAAACCUGUUGAUACACUCAAGCAUGUUGGAAUUACUGGUCCUGUGGUGGAACAUAUGGAGGCACGACUAAAAGAAGAUAUAGUAUCUGAGGUGAGACAAUCUGGAGGUAGAAUGCUUUUACAUCGUGAAGAAUAUAA
rnacentral:misc_RNA from 1 species